AUUUUUUAUUUUUUUCUAAAGUGUUCAGUCGGAAAGGAGCUAAAAUUUAUUAAAGUUUUGCAGGCAAAUUUGACAUGUUAGUGUUUCAUAAAUAGAUCCAUCUUGAUCCAUCUAGACCCAUCAAUGCACCAUGAUUGGCAUAAUUUUUUUCUGGACAGCAUGGAUAGUCCGACACUGCAUGUCUGCAUCCCAAAAAAUGCAAGUUUGAUUGCCUUGAUUAAUUGUUUAGAUUAUUAUAGUUGAUCUAGUACACGGCACCAUGCGGUACAGUACACUCAAUAAACCAUUGAAAUCAUGCAUAUGUUUUGUUAACCAUAACUCAUAACAUUGGUUCAUGGUCAGUACUAUUGGUUCUAUUGGUUUUAUUUUACAAUCAGUAUUUUCGAAUUUUUGUUGCCUGUCGAUGACUUUCAACAUGGAAGUUUUUUUUUUUUUAACUUGUAUUCUCAGUCGAAUGUAUAGUAUCACAUGGUGUAUAUAAAUAAUUCUAUCUGUUCUGUUGAAAAUGCAGUCUGUAAAUGCACCAUUUGCGGUUGACCUUAAAAUGUUGGAGGAACGCUAACAAAAGAUCAGCAGCUAUUGUAAUGUCGAGAGUGUUUUAGGAUCGCUGCAGCAAAAGUCAAUUCCUUUUUGGUUCAGUUAGGAUCGCUGCAGCAACUAGUCAAUUCCUUUUUGGUUCAGUUGAUCUACAGGAGAAAACUGGAGUGAUAGACUGAAAACCUGUGGUAGUUGGUUCAGUUCAAUAUCCCACCAGACAACUAGCCAUCCAUUAUUGAUCUAAUCAUCAUUCCCCGUAGCUAAGCAUGUUCCGAAGUUAAACUCUGCUCGUCUGCCUGACAACAGGAUUGUGAAGCGUUAUCCUCAACAUCCCUUCUUCCUCUUUGUUGUCCCUCGAUAUCAACCUGAAUGCCCCCCACGUGUUGCUCUGUUAUGACGUCAUUCUCGCAUUUUGAGCUCUCUUCUCUGUCCUUGUGAUGUUUCACAUGGUUGAUGUGAUUUUCGACGGUACUAUAAGUUCGUUGCUUCUCUAGAGCAAUUGAAUGUCUUCUUCUUGCGGCCUCGUUUCGACCUCCUACGUCCAUUCGAACUGGCAGAGGCCUUACUACAGUGACACAAAAUAAGAACAGGAAAUUAUAGAUUGUAAGGGCUGAUCUAACCUCAUCUGCAAGGAGGGUGUAGGUUCCCAUGGGGUGGUGCAUGAGGGAGCCUUACUGCCCACUCUGCAGUCUGCAACGCUUCUAUCCAACAGUACCAUUAUUUGAGAUGGCCGAAUCUGCAUGUUCGCCGUUGUGUUACGUUUUACAUCAUCUUUUGCUUAUAAAGUUUCUCAAGGACGGACUGGACAGUUGCUGUAGCACAGUAGAGUAAAUCUGCUUGUCAGGGGCGAAACUAGCCCCUUUUAAUUAGGGGGGUGUCUGGCAGAAU